AGCUGAGCUGAGCAGCACCUGCACUUCUGUGCCGUCAGCCCAAUCAACACAGAGCCUUGAAGUACUUGUUAAUUAUCCUGGUACGCUUCUUGUCAAUCUCAUCACUGCCAACCUGGACAACCAGCAGUGGGUAAUAGUCAGAGGGAUGAAUUAGUUCAGUGAGUAUCCUGGUAAGCUCCAGGAGAGUAAGCAGUGCUUGAUCAGCUCCUUUUAAUCACCUCCAAAUGACCCUCUGACCACCUGCUCACCUGAAUGGCUGGCAAAAAGAACCAGACAUGUUCUCAGAGAUGCAAAGUUCAGUACAAAAUUUAAAAACAUCUUUCAAAUAGGAAAUCUGUGUGCAUGGAACAAUGAAAGAAAUCGAACUAGUUUCCCAGGGACUUGUGCUGUUUCUACCUAUGACACAUCUGAUUUGUGGCAUCUUCAGUUUACCACUUUGCUUCUAGCCUACUCUGUGUAUAUUUCUAGUUCAUUCUAUGCUCUUUUCCCACCUGUCACCGUGGCAGGAGUGAACAGAACUUGCCAGGUUUCAAGUGAACCCAAGUCAU